CUCAUAAUGUUCCAGCCAUUCAGCCAUAAAUGACUGUAUAGUCUUUUCCAUCGUAUCCUUGGCACUCCAUGAUGCUCUGUUUUAUUUUGUAAUGUAGCACAAUUUUUCGGUACUAUCCCUUCCGCUCUUAAGGUACAUUUAAUUAUUCAACAAAUUAUUAUGUUAACACUUCGUCACUGAAAAGAAUACGAUUCUUCCGAUUCAUGGUUUACUUGUAAAACAGAGGCCGGUGCAGCGCUUUUGCAAACGUAAAUUUCAUCAAUUAAUACAGAAGAAGAUCAAAUAAAUGUAGCUUCUAAUCAAAUAAUUCUCCAAAA